GACCAUUCUGUCCUCUGUGGACACAGCAUCCAUCCCUUCCAGAGAACACAGCAUUCAAGGCAUCGUAUCAGAAGCACAGGACUGUGCUCUCACCGGACACCAAACCUGUCAGUGUCUUGAUCUUGGACUUCCAGCUUCAGAACUGCCAUUGUAGACAAUUUAUCCUAUUACCCCAGAAGCGACUGAGAUGGUGGAAAUUAAUGAUUAGGUCAAUCAAAAAAGCUGACUGAAGCUCACCGACCUGGAACUCUUCUGCUUACUUCUUCAUUUAUUUGCCUUCUCCACCCUUCUCUGUUAAAAGAGACUGACCUGUUGGAGCUACCAGAAAGUCAAAGGGAGAGAGAACAGUGACUAGAGAACUAUUAUUCCCACAGUUCUCUCUGUUGCUUUAUCUUUUCCUGGCUGUUGACGCCACCACUCAAGGUGGUUCUCUCCAUUGAAUUCUUUCCUUCCAGGUUCUGGUAACUACAAUUGCACAUCCCUGUUCAGGCUAACAGAACGUGUUAUUAUUGGCUCUAGUGUACUGUGAUAUAUCUUUUAGAGAAUUUUAAUUUCAAAGUAGUCCCUUUAUUAACACUUUCUUAAAUUAUACUAAUUUUAGUUCACAGUGGGAACCAAUCUGAUACAUUUAUCAUAGAAAUUGAUCUAAUACACUGAGGCUUAUAUGAGAGUUUUGAAGAAAGAUGAUUUUAUCCACAUCCUGGCUAAACUAUAGAGAAAAAAUGCACAAUCUAAUAUCAAUGACUUAACGUCAUAGUGUCUGGUUUGGAUUAUAUGUCCAUUAUAGGUUGCCAAGUGGACUUUAUCAAUAUAUCUAAGGAACACCAUAAGCUCCAUAGAAAUACAACUCUAGCAUUUCAGAGUCAAGAAAAAAAAAGAUUUUUAAAAAUCAUUGUCAGUGGUUUAAGUUCUGCCCAGAAGGUCAUUUUUCUUAUGUUUUUCUGGCAUAUAAGUCACAUAGUUUAACCUGACCUUAUAAUAUGGCAUUUUUCAAGAUGGGACCCAUAUAUGGUUGAACACCAAUGCAUUCUGUCAUUCUGGCCAUCAAAUAUUUGGUUUCCUCCUCACCCAUGUAUGAAACAUUUUUACCCAAUCCCAAAUUUCCCACCUAAUCAGCAUAUCUAGCACUAGGCCCAAGAUCCCAUUGUGUUUUGUGAUUUCUUCUAUGUCAGAUGUACAUGGCUUCUUUUGCUCUGGACAACUGAAAACUAAAAGAAAAGAGCAAUAGUUAUUGUCCUUCAUCACACAAAUGUGCAAUAUAAAAAUGAGAUAACUGAGCAGAAACAUUACAUAUGUAUACAUAUACACACACACACAUAUGAUAUUUAAGAGAUAAAAUAGGAGGGAGGCUUAUGCGUCUUUGUUAAAUAAGAUUCUAAAACCUCACUGGAUAUGUAUUAAAAGGAAUAUGGUUCUUAGAGGAGCAAAUGUUCUUUGUCAGACACUUAUUUCACUCUCCUUGUCAUCAUUUAUCAUCGUUCUUCUUGAUCUUUGGUUCUGUCUUCUGUAAGAUCUUUUUUAUUUCUGUUACACUUGAUUACAUCAGAUGGAAGUUACUUUGAAUGGAGGUCCCACUGGGACUUAUUCUAGAAAUUUAAAAGAAAACUUUUUUAAUAGUAACAUUCUUUUAAAUUUUUUGCUCAGCAUGUUUCACUUAAAAAUAAAACGGUGUUAAAGAUGUGUGUGUAUAUAUGUAUACACACACACACAUUUAUAUGUGUAUAUAUGAAAAGUAAUUAAGAAAAUGUCUAUGUAAAUGCAUGAUGUUUCCUUACUAUUAUCCUACCAUAAAAGACAUUUCAGGAAAGAAAUAGAAUAGUCACAAAGUAUAGGACAAAACAGAUUAUAAGAAUACAAAGGAGUCAAAAUUAAAUGUAGUAUAAAUUAAUUAUUUUAUUAGUUUAAAAUGAAUCUUGUCAAUUAAACUAUUAUCUUAGCGAUUAAGAGAUUUCAUACCAUAUAGCCAAUAAAACUAGAUGUAUGGUUCUGCUGGGAAUUAAGUAAUUGGGUAUGUUUUUAUGCCUCAUUAUUAAUGACCUCAUAUGCUAUUUUAGGCCAGUGCCUACUUACUAAUUUGAAUAAUUCUGUUUUUAUGAUAGCCUCAGUACUAUAUACUUCUAGUAUAAUAUAUAGUACUUACUAUAUAUUAAGCCUCUGGAAUUAUUUCCCACUGGAAUCAUUUAAAUUUAUAGAAAAUUAUUAAAGAUGUAAAAUUAUUAGCAUGCUAAUAAAAGUGUUAAAUAGGGGUAGUCUCACCAAAAGUAAUAAGUACUUUUGGACAGUCAACAAUUUAAACUCAAAAUUAAAAGUAUAAUCACAGAUUUUCAAACCUACUUUCCAUUUUAUUAUCUAAAUGAAAGACAUCUAGAAAUUGAAGAUAAUGUAUUUUAAGAGUUUCAUAGAAAACAUUAAAAUUUAAUGUCACAUGUAAUAAGAUUUGGUGUCAUAAAUACUAAAUAUAGAUAAUUAUGUUUAAGGAAUACAGCUAUGAAAUAAACAAAUUAAGUAUGUAAUCAGAAUAAUGAUUAUUUGUAUCAAAUAUUAUUAUUUAUUUAUUUAUUUAUUUUGAGACAGGCUGUCACUCUGCCGCCCAGGAUGGAGUGCAGUGGCACGAUCUCAGCUCACCGCAAACUUGGCCUUCUGGGCUCAAGCAAUUCUCCUGCCUCAGCCCUCCCAACUCCAAGUAGCUGGGAUUACAGGCACAAGCCACCAGGCCUAGCUAAUGUUUUUUGUAUUUUUUGUAGAGACAGGGUUUCACUAUGUUGCCCUGGCUGGGCUCAAACUCCUGAGAUCUAGCAAUACACCCGCCUCAGCCUCCCAAAGUGCUAGAAUUACAGGUGUGAGCCACCUCACUUGGCCUUUAUCAAAUUUUAGAGACAAUCAUGAUAUUUGUCCAAUCUAUACACUUAUUACAAAUGUGCUCAUAUGGUAUGGUGACAUUGCAAAUGACUGUUUCGUCUUAUUUAACAUUAACUUAAAUAUCUUAAGAAACUGAACAACAAAUUCCAAUUUUAUGUUCAAGUGUAUUAAUGUGAUAACUACUCACACAGUGAACUCUUGAAAGUUCCUUGACUAAAUAUUUUAAAAUUCAAAACUUCUCUCAGAAUAAAUGAGAGUUUUCUUGUUCAUGAUCUCUACUCAGGGCUGGCUUCUUGGCCAUGCAACCUGUGCAGUCUCACAGGGUCCUAGGUUUAGAAGGUCCUCAUACUUGGCUUUUCCAUGGAUGUUGUGAAAUUAUUUUUGAACAAGGAAGCCCACAUUUCCAUUUUGUCCUAGAACCCACAAAUUGUGUAGACUGUCCUGCUGUUAUCUAUUUUUUUCAUAUAGAAAUAAUUAUUUGGUAAUAUGCCUUAUAUUUUCUGCUUAAAAAAUUAAUUUAAAAAAAUGAAGGAAAAUAUGUGAAAAUAACCCAAAACUAAUACAAGAUAUGGAAGAUAACCAUUGCUCUUAUUACUAAAAUUUGUAUUAAAGAUGCGGCCUUCCUAUCACAAAGACCGUUUUGAGUUGCUUCAUGGAAAAAGCCAUUAAAUAAAUGGCUAGGAGACAGCCAAAGAUGAGGCCGUAUAAUAAAAGGAUGAGAACCUCAAGUAUAAAGGUUUAUCUAGAAAAAAUAUUUGGCUAUAGUUACUCAGCAAGAAAAUUUAUUUGAAGUAAUUAAUCCAUCAGGUUGUUAAGAUAAGAGUUUGUUGGGUUAUCUUGCCAAAGAAACUCCUUACAACAUGUAAUGAUUUCAAUCCCAUAAACUCUAAACUGAAUAAAACAGAAGAAGAACUAUAAAAAUUCAAUCCUCUAGGAAGACUAUCUUCCCGACAUCUAACACAGAAGCGGCCAAGAAGACUAAUGGGCAAGACUUCCCAGAAGAUAGAACCAAAGGACACGGUGGGUGAUAGUAAGGGCAAUCCUCUCAGAUUGCAGAAACAGUGCUGGCUGUUUGACUUAAUUUGUUAACCAAGGGCAAGAAAGUUAUACAUAUUGCAGGGUUUUUUUUUCAGUUGAAUUAUAUAUAUAUUUUCCUAUAAGAAAAUAACACCAAAAAAUAGCAAAUCAAACACACAAAUAAGUAAGUUAAUGAAAGAAUUGCAAAACACACUGAAAAUAGAAGAAAAAAAUGUAAGUUAGGAGUAGCAAUUAAUGAAAUACAGAUUAAACAUUUAUCUGUAUUUACGAAAUACAGGUAACAAAGAUGGAGAAGAAUAAAGAAGUCAAUGUCAAUUAAUUGAUAGGAUGAAAUUUUAUAACAUAAUUGUUACAUAGUAAUAGCCGAUAAGCCAAUUAUAAAUUCUGGUAUUAAGAAUUAUCAAUUUAGAAUUAAAACCGGUUUUGUUUAGGGGGUUCAACACCUGUCACUGUAGCUCUUAUUAUUCUCUUUCAAUUAUCUAUCUAUGUAUCUAUCUAUCUAU
rnacentral:lncRNA from 1 species